UACGGAGGGUGCAAGCGUUAUCCGGAUUCACUGGGUUUAAAGGGUGCGUAGGCGGGCAGGUAAGUCAGUGGUGAAAUCUCCGAGCUUAACUCGGAAACUGCCGUUGAUACUAUUUGUCUUGAAUAUUGUGGAGGUAAGCGGAAUAUGUCAUGUAGCGGUGAAAUGCUUAGAUAUGGCAUAGAACACCAAUUGCGAAGGCAGCUUACUACACAAUUAUUGACGCUGAGGCACGAAAGCGUGGGGAUCAAACAGG
rnacentral:rRNA from 1 species